rnacentral:rRNA from 1 species
UAAGGAAUAUUGGUCAAUGGACGCAAGUCUGAACCAGCCAUGCCGCGUGAAGGAUGAAGGUCCUCUGGAUUGUAAACUUCUUUUAUCUGGGACGAAAACGGGAUUUUUAUCUCAAUUGACGGUACCAGAGGAAUAAGCACCGGCUAACUCCGUGCCAGCAGCCGCGGUAAUACGGAGGGUGCGAGCGUUAUCCGGAUUUACUGGGUUUAAAGGGUGCGUAGGUGGGCUUAUAAGUCAGUGGUGAAAUCUCCGAGCUUAACUUGGAAACUGCCGUUGAUACUAUAGGUCUUGAAUUAUCUGGAGGUAAGCGGAAUAUGUCAUGUAUCGGUGAAAUGCUUAGAUAUGACAUAGAACACCAAUUGCGAAGGCAGCUUACUACAUAUAAAUUGACGCUGAGGCACGAAAGCGUGGG